rnacentral:rRNA from 1 species
UACGUAGGGUGCAAGCGUUGUCCGGAAUUAUUGGGCGUAAAGAGCUCGUAGGUGGUUUGUUACGUCUGCUGUGAAAACCUAGGGCUUAACCCUGGGCUUGCAGUGGAUACGGGCAGACUAGAGUACUGCAGGGGAGACUGGAAUUCCUGGUGUAGCGGUGGAAUGCGCAGAUAUCAGGAGGAACACCGGUGGCGAAGGCGGGUCUCUGGGCAACAACUGACGCUGAGGAGCGAAAGCGUGGGGAGCGAACAGG